GGAAGGAGUGCGCGUUAGGAGGGUCUGCGGGUGCCCGUGUGGGGGGCGGGAUGGGAGCUGCGAGUGUUUUGCACGGGAUUUUUAGAGAUGUUGACGGUUACAAACAAAGGGAAGCAUCAGCAUUAAAAGAAAAGGGAGACAACAACAACAACAAAAAAAAAAAAAGGAGGAGGAAAGCAAACGAACAAAAACCCCGAACCGAACCCAACGCGACGUCCUCAGCUCCACGCAGCGCCGAUCCCGUGAAGUUGGAGCGGGCAGAAACACGCACACGGGGGGGGGGACGACGACCAGAAAACCCACCUUUUUACAACAAAAGGUUUUUCUUUCCGAAAAGGGAAAAAAAUAGAAGAAACGCUCUUAGGAAACGAACGGGACUGCGGGAGCCGAACCUCCUCCCAAAGCACGCCGGGUUUGCGGGGUUGGAAGGCCGACGCCAGAAGAGUUGAAGUUAAGGAAAGCAGCGGGGAGGGGGCGGCCCCGCUUUUCGCUCCCCCCGCUCGUGUGACCCCCAUAACCCCGCAGCAGCGCCGGGGAGGGGUUGAAGUCACACCGCACGCGUUUCUAUGGGGGAAGGGGGGGGAGAAAACAAAGUUGAAAUGUUUUCAUUUCUACCUCUUUUCUUUUUUCCUCCCCGUACAUCGCAAAGAGGCGCACAAAGCGGAGCUGCCGGGGGGUCCCGGAGUGGCCCCCGCCGCCGCCCGGCUCUCACGUGGCCCCGCGGCCGCCCCGGGCGGACACAAAGAGGAUUCGUCGUGGAGGUGUUUCGGGGGGUGCCAUUUUUCUGGUUGGUUUUUUAAUUAUGAUCUCUUCCCCCCCCCCCCCCUCCCGGUUUGUUUGCUUAAUUAUUAUUAAUUUGUUUUUUUUCCCUCUCUCUCUCUGCAAAAAUAAACUCCCAACAUCUUAGAUUUUGUUUCUUUAUUGUACAAUUUAUAAAACAUCGCGCUGCCCUCCCGCCCCCCCACCCCCCCGCGCCCCCCACCCGCCCCUCUCCCCAACCCCCAUCCC
rnacentral:lncRNA from 1 species